GGCGGCGUAGCUCAGUCGGUAGAGCAAACGGCUCAUAUCCGUUGUGCCGAGGGUUCGAGUCCCCCCGCCGCUA
rnacentral:tRNA from 2 species